rnacentral:rRNA from 1 species
GGGGGYYKRMWYMYKACUGWWGMUUCACGAGCCUAGCCUUGGCCGAGAGGCCCGGGUAAUCUUUGAAACUGCAUCGUGAUGGGGAUAGAUUAUUGCAAUUAUUAAUCUUCAACGAGGAAUGCCUAGUAAGCGCAAGUCAUCAGCUUUAAUCACACUAGAGCUGCAGAGCAGGCCGGAAAAGGGUCACCUGCUAGUCCCGGGAGCGGAUGGGUUCUCCAGCCACCCGGGGCGACACCUUCAAAUUGCCCGGACCUCCCGUCAGGCCCCCGGUACCGUUUCUCGGUGGGAAACCUCCGAGUUACACCGCGGCGAAAGCCGUGGGCAUGGUAACAACMCGGUGGGAUAGGGACAAUGGGCAGCCAAGCCUUAAGGGAAGCUUGCCUUCCUAUGGGUGCAGUUCACAGACUAGAUGUGGGUGGGUCUGGCCUUGUCGGCCGGGCUUAAGAUAUAGUCGGCCCGCUCCGAGAGGAGAGCCCAAGGGAGGAACUCUUUCUGUGAAGAGAGAGAGUGAGAGCCCUUGGGGGGUGGGGUAGUAGUCGAUUGUCGACGGCAUGAUAACACUCAGGCCUCCCACCCGGACAAUGCGGCGUUGAUUACGUCCCUGCCCUUUGUACACACCGCCCGUCGCUCCUACCGAUUGGGUGUGCUGGUGAAGUGUUCGGAUUGGCGACCGGGGACGGUCUCCGCUCUCGGCCGCCGAAAAGUUCAUUAAACCCUCCCACCUAGAGGAAGGAGAAGUCGUAACAAGGUUUCCGAGUKGAAACCCUGCAAAAA